UACGUAGGGGGCAAGCGUUGUCCGGAAUCAUUGGGCGUAAAGAGCGUGUAGGCGGCCAGAUAAGUCCGCUGUGAAAUCUCGAGGCUCAACUUCGAGCUGUCGGUGGAAACUGUCUGGCUAGAGUCCGGAAGAGGAGAAUGGAAUUCCUGGUGUAGCGGUGAAAUGCGCAGAUAUCAGGAAGAACACCCGUGGCGAAGGCGGUUCUCUGGGACUGUACUGACGCUGAGACGCGAAAGCGUGGGGAGCGAACAGG
rnacentral:rRNA from 1 species